UACGAAGGGUGCUAGCGUUGUUCGGAAUCACUGGGCGUAAAGCGCGCGUAGGCGGCUUUUCAAGUCAGGGGUGAAAUCCCAGAGCUUAACUCUGGAAUUGCCUUUGAAACUGAGAAGCUGGAGUGUCGGAGGGGAUAGCGGAAUUGCUAAUGUAGAGGUGAAAUUCGUAGAUAUCGGGAGGAACACCAGUGGCGAAGGCGGCGAUCUGGGAAGAUACUGACGCUGAGGUGCGAAAGCGUGGGGAGCAAACAGG
rnacentral:rRNA from 1 species